CCUACGGGUGGCAGCAGUAGGGAAUCUUUCACAAUGGGCGAAAGCCUGAUGGAGCAACGCCGCGUGCAGGAUGAAGGCCUUCGGGUUGUAAACUGCUUUUAUAAGCGAGAAAUAUGAUGGUAAUUUAUGAAUAAGGAUCGGCUAACAACGUGCCAGCAGCCGCGGCCAUACGUAGGAUCCGAGCAUUAUCCGGAGUGACUGGGUGUAAAGAGUUGCGUAGGUGGCAUAAUAAGUAGCUAGUGGAAUCUGGUGGCUCAACCAUUCAGACUAUUAGCGAAACUGUUAAGCUCGAGACCGUUAGAGGUAACUGGAAUUUCUAGUGUAGGAGUGAAAUGCGUAGAUAUUAGAAGGAACACCAAUAGCGUAGGCAGGUUGCUGGGACGGUUCUGACACUAAGGCACGAAAGCGUAGGGAGCAAACGGGAUUAGAUACCCCAGUAGUC
rnacentral:rRNA from 1 species